rnacentral:rRNA from 1 species
ACCGUGGUAAUUCUAGAGCUAAUACAUGCUAAAAACCCCGACUUCGGAAGGGGUGUAUUUAUUAGAUAAAAAACCAAUGCCCUCUGGGCUCUUUGGUGAUUCAUAAUAACUUAACGAAUCGCAUGGCCUUGCGCCGGCGAUGGUUCAUUCAAAUUUCUGCCCUAUCAACUUUCGAUUGUAAGAUAGAGGCUUACAAUGGUAUUAACGGGUAACGGGGAAUUAGGGUUCUAUUCCGGAGAGGGAGCCUGAGAAACGGCUACCACAUCCAAGGAAGGCAGCAGGCGCGCAAAUUACCCAAUGCUAAUUCAGCGAGGUAGUGACAAUAAAUACUGAUACGGGGCUCUUUCGGGUCUCGUAAUUGGAAUGAGUACAAUCUAAAUCCCUUAACGAGGAACAAUUGGAGGGCAAGUCUGGUGCCAGCAGCCGCGGUAAUUCCAGCUCCAAUAGCGUAUAUUAAAGUUGUUGCCGUUAAAAGGCUCGUAGUUGAACCUUGGACCUGGCUGAUCUGUCCUCCUAAUCGAGCGCACGGAUUCGGUCGGGUCUUUCCUUCUGGGGAGCCCUAUGCCCUUCACUGGGUGUAGUGGGGAACCAGGACUUUUACCUUGAAAAAAUUAGAGUGUUCAAAGCAGGCCUUUGCUCGAAUACGUUAGCAUGGAAUAACAGAAUAGGACAUCGGUUCUAUUUUGUUGGUUUCUAGGACCGCUGUAAUGAUUAAUAGGGAUAGUCGGGGGCGUCAGUAUUCAAUUGUCAGAGGUGAAAUUCUUGGAUUUAUUGAAGACUAACUACUGCGAAAGCAUUCGCCAAGGAUGUUUUCAUUAAUCAGUGAACGAAAGUUAGGGGAUCGAAGACGAUCAGAUACCGUCGUAGUCUUAACCAUAAACUAUGCCGACUAGGGAUCGGACGGUGGUUUUUUUAUGCCCCGUUCGGCACCUUACGAGAAAUCAAAGUUUUUGGGCUCGGGGGGGAGUAUGGUCGCAAGGCUGAAACUUAAAGAAAUUGACGGAAGGGCACCACCAGGCGUGGAGCCUGCGGCUUAAUUUGACCCAACACGGGGAAACUCACCAGGUCCAGACAUGCUUAGGAUUGACAGAUUGAUAGCUCUUUCUUGAUUGUAUGGGUGGUGGUGCAUGGCCGUUCUUAGUUGGUGGAGUGAUUUGUCUGCUUAAUUGCGAUAACGAACGAGACCUUGACCUGC